GCAACUUCCGCUUCACCCGCGGCAAUCGCACCGUUUUCCUGUCGAUCGUCGGGGUGUCGUGGUUCUGGUUCUACGGCGCGGUAUUCCUGUCGCAGUUUCCCGCCUAUGCCAAGGACACGCUC
rnacentral:ncRNA from 1 species